rnacentral:lncRNA from 1 species
GUGGGAACGCGCGCGCGCGCCUGGUAAUGUCUUACAAUAACAGAAUGCAGGAGAGCACAUAUCAAUGAAGAAAAGACAAAAUGUACUUAUCCAUGAAGCUGAGGUUAAGAAACCAGUGUCUUCAAGAGCCAAGGACAGCACUGGGUCUGUGCAGAGUUGAGAGAUGGUGAUGACAUGUGGUUUCCAGCAUUCCUCACCCAGUCCAGGGACACUGUGGGUGUGCCCAGCUUAAGUCCAGUAACUGGAAAUACAAGCCCAAGUUCUGGAGAGUUUGAGCUGCAGAGAUAUAUGUGGGAACACUUUGAACCUUGACUCAUUGGCCAUAACCAGCAGAGUGGAAAAUACAAGAAGAGAAAAAAACAUUGAACUGCGAUUUUAUAACAUCCUUUACUCGGCAGAGAGAAGAGGAAACACCAGGAAAGAAAACUGUAUUACGAUGUGAAAACUUAACGUUGAGAAAUUCAGGCAUCUUGGGGUUAGUGAGGAGAAGUUUUAGGGGCUUAGAUUCUUCAAAACACAUGUACAGAAAUGCAUAUUUCAUCUGAUAUCAAAUGACAUUUAUAGUGCUAAUCUUUACCUCAAGACUUCACAUCUUUUGGUGAUUGCAUCUUUUAGGUUUAUAGCAGCUAAGUUUGCAUGAAAACACCA